rnacentral:lncRNA from 1 species
AUGGGCCAGGUGAGCCACUGGUUAACGUCUCAGCCAGAGAUUGUUGCAAGGCCUCCAUCCCUUGGGAGAGAGCAUCCUCCGCCUGUUGGGAUGACUGCUGCAAGUUGUAGAUGCUCAUCAACUGUUGCUCCGUUAGAGGCUCCAAUUGGUUUACAAGAAGCUGUAUCAAACGACAAUGCAAUUCAAAAACAAGACCAUAUAGAAUAAUGCACAAAAGCAAAUGAUUAAGCAUGUUCUAAAAGUCAUUAUCUUUUUAAUGCACAAUGCAAUUCAAUUUUUUUUUAAAUAGUUUCUAAAAGUCAUUAUCUUUUUAAGGAAAGUCUCAAAAAGUUCUUGCAUUUGUCCAGGAAUUACUAUCAUUUUCUACUUUUAAAAAUAGAAAACAAGCAUGUUCAAACAAGCACUAAAUUUGUUGUUUGUUUAACGGUUGAAGGACAGAUAAUAGAUACUUUUACUACCACCCACAUAUCUGUGAAACACACUGCCAGAAAUGAAACUAGAUGCUUUUUCAGCCUAAGUUUUUUUAAAAAAGCUUUGCUUUUGAUAAAAUUCUUUACUGAGAAGGAUUUCUCAUCCUUCUCUUGUACUUCUUUUUUCUUUUAAUAUUUUCCUUUGUCGUUUCCUAUAAAAAAAAAAAAAAAUACAAGCCAACUCAACUAAAAUACUUAAUAAUAAAAAUACUUACAUUAUAAUACACAUACAAAUAUGCAAAUAGAAUUAUUCAUAAUAAACACAUUUAUUUACAGUCCAUUGAAUUUUCAAUAAAAUGCUUUAUCAUUGAAUCUCACUUCUUUUUCCCAAGGAGGAUCUAUUUUUAUUCACAUCUCACUACCUCAUUUGAUCAUAUCUCCAGAUAGGAUUAGUUUGCCCGAUAUAUCAAAACCACCCUUUCUUCUGCUCCUCAAGUUAUGAUAAGAGAACUUCAUUCUCUUGUUAUUCCUCACUGGACAUCAAAAACCUUUCUUCACUUAUUUUACCUUUUUUUGGAGGAAUCAUUUGAUUGACUUCACUCUCAUAGUCAACCAUUCAUUAGCCACAAUCCUUUCAUGACUACCAAUAGCAUAUGCUGCUUCUUUGCCAUGCAUAAGAAAUUCUGAAAAUCUAAACUUUAUAAAUGCAUGCUACCACAGCUGGCUUGAAAUCCUAACCACUCAACCUGGAGUCACUUGGAAAGACUUCUAAAUACCAACAGGGCCACAGUAAUUUUGGUACAUAUAAGAAGAAGAAGAUAAAUUCAACACACUUCUUUUCUAAUUUUCACAGAAUUUAUGGAGUCUGUCUUGUCUCACAAUACCUACCGAUAAGAAUGAAACAGAUUUUUAAAAACACAAGCAUCCUCCUCUUCAUUGUUAUUUAAAUCCCACACAUACAGUUCAAACUUGGGACAGGUUGAACCCAACCAGACCAGAUCUAAAACAAAAUAUACUUAAAUUUGUAAGAUUUACAGUGUUAGACAUACACUCAUAUCUUAAUUAAAAAACACAUGCAAGAACUUAUAUGCUGUGGGGAAUAUUAGCUAGAAAGAGAGUGACAACAAAAAUGCAUCAGCAGCCAAGUUUAACUUCCUAACCUGGGGAAAAAUUAGGAUACAAAUAAAACCCAAAAGGAAUAUCAAAUAUAGAGUUCAAACCCAAAUCCAACUGUUUUUUAGUAUCUGAUCGCAUAAUGGAGCCCAUAAAUGACCAGAUUAAACAGGUCUGUAUCAUUAACUGUCCCAAUCCCUUGGCAAACCUAGCCAAACAACUUAGUUGGGACAUACAUGAUAAUUAUACAAUACACCAACAAGCUUUUCCAUAUAAUGAUUGCAUAAAACAAGAGCACUAUCACAUCAAACCAUUCAACCGCUUAUAAAGCAGAAUGGAAGAUGAAAAGUUUACAUGCCAAGAACAUGUCAGUGCUAGUACAUCUCAGAACUCAAUUCUAUCAGAACAAAGUGGAGGGUCUGAGAGCACCUUUUAAAGUCCAAACAUACUCCUAUUGCAUAAAUAGUGAUCUAAUGAGAAUGUCAGCAAAAAAAUUCCAAAAAUGCAUUUGCUUAUUCCAGUAAUCACCCUCCAAAUAUUGAUCAAAAAACCAUUGACACCACAUUGUACUUCUAACAAUUCAUUGCCAAGUCAAUUAUAGGGCCCACUAACCACAAUCCACCAUCCAAUCCAUAUUCCCAUCUCAGAAAGUAACACCUUGAAUGCCAAAUAUCUUCAGUUCACAAUCAUUAAUUUAACAAAGCAGAGAUUCCCAAUCUUCCAAACCAAACUCCAAAAACAACCCUGCACACAUUCCCACCCCCUUCUCUUCCCCCCAAUCCCUUCCUCGACCACUGCAUUUCCAUCAUUAACAUGCACAAAUGCACACAAAACAUUCAACCAAAAUCCCAAUUUAAUCCAGGGAACAUAUAGUAGAUGUUGUUUUUAAGGUAAACAGUAAAAUAGAUGGAAUCAUCAGGAAACAAUUCUCACCUUGAGGACUUCAGAUGAACGGAAACCGCCAAUCCACAUAAAACACCGUUCUGCAGGUGUCUUCCACAUUCCUGACAGGAUGUGGAAGACAUCAGCCUUGGCUGCAAUGCCUUUCAACCUGAAAAUGUCGUCAAAAUGUGCUGUAACAUUGUCC